GAAGCAGAGAUCCUGAGGCGGCUCCAGGGCCUCUGGCUUGUGUGUCCACACAGGGCACCGGCAGCAGGCCUGCCAGCCGUGCUCCGAGUCUCUUCCUGGCUGGGAACCUGCCCGCCCCCAGCCCCGCUGUGUCCCCCUUGAAAUGCCUCCUUGUCGCUGUGAGCGUCCUGGGAGCCUCCCAGGUUCUGAUCGUCCCGAGGGCAGCCCCAGGCAACUUCGGGAAGCAUGUGUCUCUGUGCCACUGUCCCUCGACCUGCAGGAGGGCUGGGGUCACCCUCAUAGUGCCUGGCUGACAUGAGUCAGGCUGACCCUGCCCACUGGUCCUCGCUGUGAGUUUGGGUCUCCAUCCUGGCUCCCCUCUGCUGUCUGGAACACUUUGGACCGAUGAUGCGGCCAGGCUGUUUCCGCGUAAACGCGGGUUAAUAAGAGGGAGAAAGAGCCUCUGAAGUGAAUUCUCACCUCCUCAAGACCGGGAUCAGCUGGCUCAGGCAGGUAGGGCAGGGCCGGUAGCCCCAGAGGGCAGAGGGCAGGGCUGGGGCGAGGAGGGGAGAGUGCGAAGGCCACGGGGGACGCAGCAGGCGGUCCCGAGCUCCCGUGGUCGUUGGUGGAGGCUGGCAGCAGGAGGGUGGGAUCCUUCAUGCAGCUCCCACCUCCGGUCUGUUCUGUUCUGGGCCGCGGGGCAAGAGCCGGUUCGGAGACGGCGGGUGCGGUCUCGAUGGCACCUUCUAGGCCAGGGGAGGAGGCUGGGGCGGUGCUUGUGGACACUGGGGUGUCCGCCGUGGAAUGCAAGUCCCAGCUCUGGGCACAGAUCUGUCCUGGCUUCCGAGGUAGCCCAAGCCUGGGUCCGGCCCCCUGCCCCUGGGAGGAGGGGGGAACAGAACCGGAAGGAAGCAGGUGGACUCUGCACUUUCAGCCUGUGGGCUCCCCUGGGAGCUGGCGGGGAGACCAGAGAGGCCUGUUGCCGCUGAGCCCAGAGGGAGGUGGGCUGGCCUGGGUGGGCAGGCUAGCUCUGGGGCAGCUCAAGCAGGGAGUGAGGCGGUGCAGAGCCCAGAGCGCCCAGCCACCCAUCGAGGUCUAGUUUGUCCUCUAACAACCCAGGUGCACGGUGAUGCUGUCACCCACGAGCUCCGUGGGAGGAAACGCACAGACAGGGUCGACCGUUUGCCCAGCGUCCCUUCUCUGGGAAGUGGAGGAUCCGGGCUCCCACAGAGGCCGGUUGCCAGCUGCUUGGGCAGAGGGGUUCCACCCGCCUGGCCGCCUGUCUCUGCCGGCCCGUGGCCCAGGCCUGCGCCGGUGUCCGUUGGCCGUGGUGCCACUCACUUCCGUGGCAUUGGCCUUGGCACCUGUGCCCCUGGCAGCCGGGCUGAAAGAAUCAAUAAGAAAGGCCAGCUGGGUGUGAGACAGGUCUGCCUGCAGCUGGAUGGGGCAGCCGCCAGCCCGCCCUCCCCAGUGCUGAGUGUGUGUGUGUGUGUGUGUGCGUGUGUUCCCGUGCGCGGGUGUGCUCCAAAUGGGCAGGAGCAACACUUGUUUUGUCAGUGCGCCGACUGCUCAGUACCAGCAGCGCCGGCCUCCCUGGCCCCCAGCUGCUCUGCCAUUUCGCUCUCUCCACAGCCCUGCCUGGUCCCAAGCAGACAGAAACGCAGACUUCCGCUUCUGCUCCCGGAUCCGGGCUCAGACGCUGCAGGCAGCUGCUCCCAACGGCCUCACAGCCAUUCAUCUUCAAAAGCACCCCCCACCCCCGCGCAAGCCAGCAUCCCUCCUCCCCAUCCAGCCCCCCACUGCCGGGGCCCAGCGGGGUUGUCUGGCUGGCUGGCCCUUGCCCUUGACUCAGACAGCAGGGGAGGGAGGAGUUCUGUAGGGAGCGGCACCUCCGCGGAGGCGAGGACGGGAAGGGGUGAGCAGCUGAGGGAACCCACUUGAGGCACUGGGGUAGGGGGGCGGGGAGGCCGCAGCCUGCCGGGAGGGGCCGCUGCAGGCAGCCUGGCUGGGGUGUGCACAGGCAAAGUAGGGCAGGGAGGAGGCAGGGCCGGGUCGCUCCAGGGCAAGCUGUGCCGGGCCGGCGCGCCCCCUGACCUGCGCCAGGAGUCCGUGAGCACCUGCCUGGCCCCCGCCAGCCUGUGUUUCUCCUUCGUGGUGACAGCGCCUGUCAGGCCGAGAGGCAGAGGGCAGAGUUCCCGCCACCCUGUCUGUUGCCUGUCCCAUCUCACGCUCCUUCUCCAGUCUGUCUGCCGUGUCCCUGUCACCUCGUCGCUGCCUCUGCUCUCUGCCGUUCCCGUCGCCUGCCUCCUUCCACUGGCUCGAGGAAUUGUCAGGCCAAGGUCACGGGGGCAGUCCUGGGGCUGGCUCCCAGCCUGGAUGGACGCGCGUCCACAAGGCAGCGGCACCCCCUGCGCACGCUUCCAGGCGUCCAGACGGAAAGACGAAGCUUCGUUCAGUGAUCUGAUUGGGCGGAAGAGGGUUCGUGGCGCUGUUUCCCCGAUCUGAGAGAUCUCGGGGGAGCACUGCUUCCCGGCCCCCACCGUGUUUCCCUGACCGCCUUUCUAGGUGGGUGCAUUCGAGUCGCGGGAGGUCAGCGACAGCCUGCUGCCACGGUGCACGGUGGAGACCUCCGGCUUUCGGUGUGGAUUGUCUGAGCCCCCGGCCCCGCGCUCCUGUUUGUGGAGCCCUUGAACCUUUCUGCCCCGGGCCUCCCUGGCUGGGGAGCGUGGGCGAUAACUGGCAGCUGUCAUGGGAUUGAAGCGAGACAGCGAGUGAGAGGCGUUCGGAGCAGCGCUGCACCAGGCGGACCCAUCACACACGCGCGGCUGUGACCUCAGAAAGGCAGACGCCCACGGCAAGUUUCACGGCCCACGGCAGCUCCUUCACCGCGAUCCAUUCUUCCAGAGAACUCUUAUUAAAAAAAAAAGAUUUGGAAAACGCCGACAUCACUUAGGACAGUUUUGCCUCUAACAGGACGUGGACUUGAGAUGGCUUCAACAUGGAGAUUUCAUUUCAAAACCUUGCGUUGUGCGUUUUACUGAAGCGAUCAUGCAUGGCCAGUAAGACACCCCUUGCGUUCAGAAAUGUGAAAAUGUAGAAACGUGUCGCUGAGUCAGCACGAGAGGCCUGGGGCCGGCGCUGUGGCGGAGCGGGCUGAGCUGCCACCACGGGGCGCCGGAUCGAGUCCCGGCCGCUCCACCUUUGAGCCAGCUCCCUGCUGAUGAGAAAAGCAGAGUGGAAGAUGGCCCAGUGCUUGGGCCCCUGCGAGAUCUGGAAGAAUCCGGCUUCGGCCUGGCCCAGCCCCAGCUGUUGUGGUCAUCUGGGUGGGGAGUGAACCAGCGGAUCAAAGACCUCUCCCCCUGCCUCUCUGUCACUUUGCCUUUCAAAUAAAUUCAAAAAAAAAAAAAAAAAAAAAAGGUCUGGGUGCUGGGGCCUCAGCUCCGAGCUUCCCAGCAGCCCCACCGCUCAUCAAAGCCUGAUGUUCCCUCUUCUUUCCACUCUGCCACCGCAGGUGUCUGGCGCUGGCUUGCAGGGAGGCCUCGCAGGUGCGGGAUGAGGGCGUCACACCUUGGCCAAGUCCCCAGGCCCAGAGAGAGGCUGCCAUGCUUCAAAGCGGGAGACCGCUCCUGAACUUGGCCAGCAUCACCGUGCAGACCUUUUCCCGACAUGAAGGCUGGCAAAGGGAGGGCCCUCCUGUCGGGGCUGGGGAGAGGCCCGCGGCCCCAGCAGCCGAGUGGGAGCUGGGCCUGGGGCCGGGGAGAGGCCCGCGGCCCCAGCAGCCGAGUGGGAGCUGGGCCCGGCUCGCCAGGUGCAGGUUAGGGGCUCGCAGACUGGCCACUCCGUGCCCGCUGAGCCGACCCACUACUGUGCUCUCGCGGGGGCAGCGCCCCGAGUGUAGGCAGCCAGCUGCGUGGGACACGCCUACCCUCCUGCUCUUACCAAUAACAGGUGACUCCUUCCCAGGCUAAGAAAUCACCCUCGGGGCCGGCGCUUCGGCGUAGCAGGCUGAGCUUCUGCCUGCGGUGCAGCCAUCCCAUAUGAGCACUGGUUCAUGUCCCAGCUGCUCCUCUUCUGAUCCAGCUCCCUGCUAAGGCACCUGGGAAGGCAGCGGAAGAUGGCCCAAGUGCUUGGACCCCUGCACCCGUGUGGGAGACCUGGAGGAAGCCCUGGCUCCUGACUUUGGAUCAGCUCAGCUCUGGCCAUUGCGGCCAUUUGGGGAGUGAACCAGUGGAUGGAAAAUCUUUCUGUCUCUCCCUCUCUCUGUAACUCUGCCUCUUAAAUAAAUAAAAUAAACCAAAAAAAAUCACCCCGAAUGUUCCAAGACCCUGUUUUCAUUGCUGUGGGAUUCAGAGGCCACGUCCCACGUCCUGUCCGUGACCUCCCGGCACACAGCAGGCCGGCUGACUUUCCCUUUGCACUCAGGGUCGGUCCAGUCUCUGGACAGCGCUGGGGACUCCUGCCCUGUUGAGCUUGUGACCUGCCUCUGUCACUUAUCUCUGGAUUGUGACAUUCCCUGUCCAUGUAGACAGAUCUGCACAACUCAUCCAUGACAGAGCCGCCUGCAGGGCAAAAGAGACACAGUGACCGUAAACGCCACUGGCAGCGGCUCUGGGUCCUGGGUGCGCAUUCUCUGGCCUUUCUCCAGUUUUUCUGGAUUCCCCAGACACUGUGCCCUUCCCACGAGCUCAGGAGCAGGGGCUGUCACUGUAGCUUCUUAAAGAGAUUUGUUUAAUUAUGUGAAAGGCAGAGCAAGAGAGAGAGAGAGAGAGAGAGAGAGAGGGAGCUUCCACUACUGGUUCAUUCCCCAAUGGCUGCCUAGGCCAGGGUGUAGCCAGGAGCCAGGAACUCCAUCCGGGGCCCCCACGUGGGUGGCAGGGACCCACCUGCUGCUGCCUUCCCGGGUGCAUCUGCAGGGAGGGGGAUUGGAAGCAGAGCAGCCAGGACUUGACCUGGUGCCCCAGUUGGGAUGCAGGCGCCCCAGGAGGCGGCUUCACUGUGCUUUGCUCCAGCCUCGAGGUCACUGCCCAGCUGCCCUGGUGCCCCGUCUGCAGAGAGCCUGCUCCUGACCCACCAGGCACAGGAGCGCUCUGCAGGGAAGCCGUGCCCGUCAGCCACCAAAGCUCCACGGCGGCCCGUGGUGGACACUUGGUGAGGACUGGUCUGUGCCAGAGUCAGGGCCUCUCACCCUCACUCGUCCUGCCCCCAAGUGGCUCAAAACGGUAGAGCAGCAGGUAGAGCAGCAGCCGGGCACGCCCGUCUGUCAACGUCAUUUCCUAUUUUGUCCCCAAACAACCCUGCAAACAUGCAAACAUCCUUUUCUGUCCUCUUCUGCCACCCCCUGCCCAGGAGGAACCCGCAGAAGCCCUUCUGCACAAGGCCUCUCUCGGGCGUCUGCAGAGGCGGCUUGAAGCUGACGUGUAGAUGGAGCCCCGGAGUGGACAGGGGGCCGGCGCGCCCUGGGCGGUCACCGCGGACAUCGGCCGCCUGGUUUGUUCUGGAGCCAAGUCCAAGUGUGCGCUGGAGACCUGACACCUGAGACGGAUCGGACAAGAAGCCUGCCCGGGGCCAGACCUGGCGGACCCGGAGCUGCGCAGGAGGACCCCGCCACGACCUUCCUAGGGAAAGGUGCCGUCUUGGCGCGAGGAGGCUUCUUCAGCAGCUGCCCUGGGACAGCGAGCGCGUGGCGUGGCGUGGCGUGCCUCACUCCUGCGGCAGCGGCAGACCCUGCGUCUGCUGAUGGACCACCUCUGAGGAGGAUCCAGAGGUUCUGCGGGCGUCACCUUCGAACGUAGGAACUUGAGUGACAGAUUGUCCCAGAAAACUUGGAGGAGUUAACAAGAUGAGGGCGUAGCUUAAACAGAAUUCGGGUUUUGGUCGCCGGGUGUAACGUGUGUGUCGGUGGGAUUGGAACCAAGUGGUGUGGACACUGCUGGGCACUCAGGAGCCAGGUGCUUGGCCCGGGACUUCCUGUGCACCUGCUAUGUCUGGCUUUACAUUUUGAAGCACAAAUAAAAAACUUCUUGGUUGGCUCACUA